UAACAUCUGUCUAUAUUGCAGUUUACGCGAAAUAUUGGUUGAAAAAUUUGGGCGCUAAAGAUGUCUUAAGAAUUGAUCAACUUGUACCAUUUUUCGACAAUUCCCGAAAAUCUAGCACGAAUGCAUUUGUGCGUGGUUGAGAGAAUAAUGAUUUGUACGACUUUCGCCACUGGCAUAUUACAUUUUGUUCAGUGUUGUUGGUGCAAGAGGUUUGUCCAAAUCGUGCAAAAUAUACCGCCGUUUGAAAUUGGUCACCAUCAGAAUAUUGUCCUAGUAUUUACCACUUGUGAGUUCUCUGAAAUUGCUGUCUUGUGUAAUCUUUUGCGAUAGAGGAUAUAGAGAGGAUAGAGAAUUUAGUGACAAAAUUUAGUUCGUCAAGUUGAAUUUGUUCGAAAAUAAAGACUUUUUGCUUAUCAUUAUACACUGUCUUUACUUUCCAUGAUGAAAAGUUCGUGACCUUUCUAUGAAGGGUUCGUGCUUAUUAUAAACAACUCUUCAGCAAUUGUCAAAGUGAAAGAAGAAUUUAAUAAUUAUGAUGUAAAUUUAUUCAUUAAGUCUAAGAAUUUAUAAUUAUGAUGUAAAUUUAUUCAUCUCUGUCAUUAAAACUAGGUAAAGGAUCAAAAAUGACGUAAUUAAAUGCCUCCCAACAAGGGAACCAACAUU